rnacentral:rRNA from 1 species
UACAGAGGGUGCGAGCGUUAAUCGGAAUUACUGGGCGUAAAGGGCGCGUAGGCGGCCUGUUAAGUCGGACGUGAAAUCCCUCGGCUCAACUGAGGAACUGCCUUUGAAACUGCCUGGCUUGAGGCCGGGAGGGGGUAGCGGAAUUCCCAGUGUAGCGGUGAAAUGCGCAGAUAUCAGGAAGAACACCCGUGGCGAAAGCGGCUCUCUGGAACGGUACUGACGCUGAGGUGCGAAAGCGUGGGGAGCAAACAGG